UUUGGCAAUGGUUGACCCUUUUCCUGGAAAGAAUAAAAAUUCACUUGAGAAUAAAGUAAUCUCAGAAGAAGACAGACAAAAAAUGAUACAUGGCAAUUGGCAUGGAAAACAAUUUAACAUGCAUUCCAAACAAGCUACAGAUAGUGUUCCAAGGAUUUUUGUAUGCCUAAAGCCACACACACACACACAUAUAAUUAAAUGAAAUUUGAUCAAUUUACUUAUAAAUUCUAGCUUUUUAGAUACAGGAAUUCAAGCUGGUAUCAAAUUGUAACUAGUACAUAUUGAUAUCAUAGGCCUGCAAAAGAAUACCUAAAUCACCAUGGCCAUGAUACUGAACAUAAAGUUUACUAUAAUCAGGGCUAAAAGCGCACCCCCUCCUUCCCCUUUUCUCCAAAAAAAGAGAAAAAGUAGUAAAAAAAAAUCCUCUUUGGAGGGAUUUCAAUAGAAGAUUUUAUGUUCAGAACCUUAUCAUUAACUAUUGUGUGCAGAUAGAGUAUAGUCACUCAGAUCUUCAGCACCAAUAAAAUCUUGUCUACCUACACUUAUCGCUUGAUGACAAAGUAUUCAGUUAUUCACAAAGCAAUUACAAGUUUACAACUAUAACAUGCAUCUUCAAAACCAUGAUUCAUAGAAGAAGAUUUUUUACAUGUUAAUUGACCCAAGUAAAUAAAUUAUUUGGUGGCAAAGAAAGAGUGAGUUGAUUAAAGCACAGUACUACUACUUAGUGGUUUCUUAUUGCACUAUUACUUGGAAAUUUGACAAACAGAACAUUUUCUAUCAACACGUCAUGUAGUUAUAACAAGGAAAAACAAGGGGAUAAAGCUACAUCUAAGUGGUUCACUUCAAAUUGAACAGAUUAAACAUUCCAAUUCAUUCUAGUUUGAUAUUACUGCAGAAUGUCAAUAGCAUUAGAAAAACAAGUUAUCAACUCUCCUAGUGGAAGAAAAGAAAUGGACUGCACCGAUGAGCAUCAACACAUUGAGAGGGUAGCCGGAAUCUGCCAGGAAAGUUUUUAGGAAUGUUAAAUUCCAGUGUUGCACAAGAGUGUUGCAUCCUUGGGGAAGUUCAAUUCCUAAAUCAUUGGGUCCCACCUCUACUUUCCCAUCCCAUGUCUCAUCUCAAAGGGUGGGAAGUUACUUUCUCAUAGAUGUGGCAAAUAGAAUAAUACAUAUGGACAUUAAUACCAUUAUUUAUAAUAAUAUUUAGAAAAAAAAAACAAUUAUAUUAAUCUUCUCUAAAAUCCCUACCAACAAGAGAUUACAGAUGAUGAGUAGGCUACAAAAGAGUCUAGUCUCUUAGCUGUUUUUUAAUAGUUGAUUUCAUCAUCUAAUUUUUUUUAUUUUAAUUUAGUUUUUAAUCAUAUAUUCUAAACAAAUAUGAUAUUUUUUUUUUU
rnacentral:misc_RNA from 1 species